AAGGUGGGGAUGACGUCAAGUCCUCAUGGCCUUUAUGCCCAGGGCUACACACGUACUACAAUGGCAGGUACAAAGGGCAGCCACUUAGCGAUAAGGCGCGAAUCCCGUAAAACCUGUCUCAGUCCGGAUUGGAGUCUGCAACUCGACUCCAUGAAGUUGGAAUCGCUAGUAAUCGCAGAUCAGCACGCUGCGGUGAAUACGUUCCCGGGCCUU
rnacentral:rRNA from 1 species